AACACUCGAGCCGUCAUCCCAGCACUAGGGGACAGUGACCAGUGUGGCUCCCGUGGCCAGAACCCUUCUGAAGUUUGGGUUGCCCUGUGGUCUUCGCCUUCAAAGCAGGCCGCCACUUGAAUCCUUCUGGAACGGACAGUGUUGCUGUAAACGCCGCGGAAUAGUAUCUUCUAAGUAUUCGUAGCUUCUUUCUUGAGGGAUCUCGGGAACGUUCCGUGUAUUAACCACUAACGUAUUCCAAAGUUAACUUCGUGGUAAAGUCGCUGGGGAAAAAAAUAACUGCUCCAGUUCCACAGGUGAUUGAAACAAAAGUGAUCUGUUUCCCAAACUUCCUUGAUGGUAAAGAAUGACUUGGGGUACUAAUUAAAAAUAAAAAUAAUUGCGUCAUUUCCA
rnacentral:lncRNA from 1 species